UCCCACAAUUUCCUCGCGUCUCUCCUGCGCCUCCUCCGUGGGAGGGACUAAGAUUUGAGGAAGGGAAGCAAGUGGAGGAAACAUGGAUGCAAUUUAAGGGAAGUGAGA